ACGGUUCUGCAGACUGUACAGGAAGCAUGGUGCUGGCGUCUGCUUCAGUACAGAAAAAAGUACUAGAUGCCAGCAAGAUGAUAAUUAUUUUCUGAGAAUGUGAGGAAAGGGAGAAGGCUGAAUGUCAGUGGAAAUCACGUUCUGGUUACUAACAGAGGAAUUUGAUUCUGGCCGUCUUAAUACAAAAUGGGAUUCACUAGAAUCCUCUCAUGUGCUUGGAGGAAAAACUGAAAGUCCGUGCUUGAGAACUGAACAGGCAUCAAGGGGGGCUGGACAGUGGUGAGCAGACCAAAGUGCAUGCCAUGGGAAGAUUUUGGUCAGCACAACAUCAUCAUUACCCCCAGGAAUAAUACAGUCACCAUCUGGCUCCAUCAUCUGAAGUCACUUGCUCAGGAUAUAAAGUCCCAAGAGAGAGAAUUUGGUUUGCUAUGCUUGAGUUAAUUUCUUCAAACAGGCUCAUAGAAACAACUUUAUAACCCAGCAUCGCUUCCAUAGAUGUAGAGUUUUCACCAGUGACUCUGGGAAGGAAGAUUGUAGCAUAAGUUCCUUGGAACUCUGACCAGACGGGAAUCAACAUAUUGUGAUGUCAUAAUGUAAACAUAUUCAUCUAGGAACUUAGCUGGUAUGCAAUGCAAAAGAGGGCUAUGCACGUAUCAAGUUAUUUCAUUUUCUUUGACUUCUGUAGGGGCAUUCCUCUGGCUCGACUUCCUAAUGGAGUGCUAUUUAAAUCACUGCGACUGGAUGACUGUUAAUAGUGCUGCACGGGAAGGAACUGGAUACUAAUAUUUUAUUCUAGGGUUAAUUUAAAACCAUCUGAAAACUGACUUCCUCAUAAUGAAUCAGACUUAGCUGGGAGCAUGAUAAAUUUAAUUAUAAUGGACUUCCUGUGGGUAUUGCCAGUCAUUUACAUAUUCAUUGAGUCCCAUGAAGUAGUUUUUCUUACCAUUUUGAGUGUUAAAACCAAGGAAAGGCUAAAGCACAGAAAGGAGAAAUAACAAAUUUGUCUAUAAUUAAAUGUGAACAGGUCUCU
ensembl:lncRNA novel transcript